ACAGUCCAUACACCACCUUAAAUGUCCUUUUGGAUAUCUCAAGGGAAAUUGGUUUGGGCAAUCAAUAUUCAGCUUUUGGUAACUGAGGCAACGAGUGAAAUGUCCUGAGUUUAUUGUCAAUAUAAUCUUGAAGCUUUCUCUGUUAUUGAUGUGUCAAUGGUACAACAAUUUCAGGUGAGGAGUAAAUACACAAUUAAAUCCAAGCCAAUUAAAGUUGCUGCCAGAUUGCAUUGCUAUACCAUUGGCUUUGUGAAAAUGGGAUUUUGCUGCCUGAAUUGACAUUCAUUGCAUGCAAUGAAGUUGCGGUAAUCAUACAAUAAAUAUACAUUCAUAAACAAAGUUAUGAAAAGUCAAAGCUUAACUUCUGCCUCUUAACCAGUCAUACAAUGAGAAUUAACUACUUGUAAAGCAGUCUUCUGGGCUUUCAGUUUUUGAACUUGUUUGGAAGAUUUUAAAGAGGUCAAUUUUUAUGUUUUGUUUUAAAACCUUAUUUUUUUCAUUCUAUAAACAUUUCCUCUCUUUUUAUCUCUCUUUUACUGAUUUGAGAUCAAAUUUGCAUUUUUUAAAUUUUAACAGUCCACCAACUGUUUAUUCCUUGGCUUUUAAACCUGAUUAGUUAAUGGAAUAACCUAAUGUUUGCUUUACUCAUGAGUCCCAUUAAUUUGUACUGAACGAUCAGCAGUAACCCCAUUUAAAAGGAUCCAUCCUCUACAUUGCGAGACCAGGAGGUUGUUUGAAGUGGUUGCCGUGUUAAUGUUGAGUGCAGGUAUCCAUUUCUGCCUGGAAUGCUCAUAUUUAACUGACAGGCUCUUGCUUUGACAUUGGGCCUUCAGCUGCAACUUAAUAUUCAAAUGUGUUAGAGAAACAAUGAGAUUACAGAGAUGAAUUGGUCCCUCAAUCCUGCCAAGGCACGACGGUGACAGAUAUGUCCAUUCAUGUUACCUGUCAGAUCUGGAUUGGUGGGGAAGAGUCUGAAUAAUUUUACUCUGAAUAUGUGUGCCGUUUCAACAUCACUUUACAAACAUCUAAGACACUUUGUAAUUGAUACUACUCUUCACUCUUUCGGUAUCAUACAUCCGUUUACAAUAAUGUAGCUGCAGAAUUACAAACGCAUGGAAAGUCCUUUGCUCAAGUCCCAGAGUUCGGUGACAAGUUUCAACUGGAGAAUAAUCGGCUGUUGCAGUGAAACAAAAGUUGUGAUGAGAUUCGAUGGUGAUGUAGGAGAUCAGGACACAUUUCAAAAGUGACCCUUCCGAUGUCAUGUGGACCACUGACAGAGAACCCUUGGCCAAUGCAGUUACAUCAAUGAAGAAUGACAAUAGAGCUACAGAACAGUUUGGCUCAGAAACCAAGCAUGACAUCUGGAGGCUGCAGCGAAUCGUCUGAUCAACUGAGCAGGUUAUUGGCUGCAACCUUCCCUCCAUUGAUGAAGUGUAGACUGCAAGGGCCAGUAAGCGAGCGGGAAAAAUCCUCAGCACACAUGCGGCGGAGGGGGGCUCUGAGCAAGGUGGCCAAAAAUGACGACCGUAGGUGGCGGCGUUCUCUCGGAAAUCACAGCACAGAUGGCCAAAACCGGUUAAGAACAGACUUUUAGUAAUAUCGAUGUUUACAUAUUCUGUUGCAGUAAGUAAGAAUUUCAAUGUUCUAUCUGGGUCAUAUAACAAUAAAACUCUCUUUUCUCUCUAAUGUUAGAACACAAUAACAACCAGGCAGGCGUACACAGUUCCUUACAGUCACACUGGGACAAUAAUUUACCAGAAGUAAUGAGGUUAGAAAUUGCUACAAAAUUGUGCUUGUAGGAAUGAAAGUCCUUGAUCUUUCACUGGUAAUGUGACGACUACACAUUGCAUAAACUAUCAUGCAUAAUUUAUGAUAAAUCACAAACGCCAAUUUGAUUCUGAUCUAAAUAAACCACCACCAAUUUGAGAUGCUACUCAAUUUUAAAAAAUUGUCUACGAUUAUAUUUCUCUGUGUUUACAAAUCUUCAAAAUAUUAGAUCAAAUUGCAUCAAACUCUAAAUCAGACGACAAACUUUCUUGUUUAAAAACAACGAACUGGAGAUGCUGAUUUACAACAAAAAAAGAGACACAUAGUGCUGGAGUUACUCUGCUUGCCAGGCGAAUAGGUCGUGUUUCAGGUUCGUUUUACAGAUUGAUUGUGGUGGGAGAGUGGGUGGUACCAAAUGUCUUCUGUCCUUGCUCUCCACAGAUACUGCCUAACCUGCUCAGCUACCCCAGCAGAUUUUGUCACAGCCUUUCUUACUUUCUUGUUUGACUCAGUAACAUUGCUUAUCGGACACGUCCAUUCUUUUCAUUUGUAAGCUAAAUUUGGAUCAAGAAAUGUUAUGACUAAGCGCAUGAUUUUUAUACAUGUAAGAUUUUAACAAAUGUAACCCAUAAAGACGAUGCAGUUUUGUGUGUAGAGUGUGCACACUCAGAGGAUGUGGGACAAAUAUUAGUUAUCCGGUAAUGUACAUUUGUCAUCGCUGUUUUCAUUGUAGCUUGUAUUUAUACAACCACAAAAUAGUGUGAGCUAUGUGGGGAAGCAGGCCAAGACAGAGAUAGCAACUUUGAAGGUACACCAAAGAGAAAUCUCAUUAAUGUGUUUUAUUUCUGUGCAUUAUCUCUCUACAUCUUCGUCUAUAUCUUUCGUUUCCCUUAUCCCUAACCAGUCAGAAGAAGGGUAUUGACCUGAGAUGCUGCCUGUCCCACUGAUUUACUCCAGGUUUUUGUGUCCAUCUUUGGUUUAAACCAGCAUCUGCAGUUGCUUCCUGCACAAACCUCAUUAAUCACAUAUUUUCUGGAGAUUUUAUUGCAACAGACAUCAAAGUGGAUUUCUGAACUGCAACAUUUGAAUAAUUUCUGGUUUUAACUAAGAUGAAGCAUGUCAUAAUUAUCAGUAGAUCCUUGGUAUGCCAAUCUUCUCUCUGUAUCAAUAAGCUUGAAGUGGGGCAUGGUGCUUUAAAGAUGUGUCAAACUGCAAGUCCACACACAUGUAAUGAACUUGGCAGUGUUAACUGUGCAAGAAACUUGGUGAUGUGAUAUCUCAUGCACACACAACCUUGCUUAUCAUGCAACAAUAAUAUUUCUAUUAGAGAAACAAAACAGGAUUGCAACACCCAUCAAAGCAGUGCAUUAGCUUGUGGUUUCAAACAAGAAUGUAUUCAUAAGCUUUGAUGUUAUUACAUGUGAUGUAUUUUGUUUUCUGUACAAGGCAUUGGUAAAUUUGAAAAAAUCUUUUGAGAAGAAUGACAAUAAAGCUCCAACCAUCCACAAACCAACAAUUCAGAAAUGUUGAUGGUUUGGCAUCUAAUUUACCAGGUAAUGUUUGCCACGUGCCUUUUCAAUCGCUGGAGCCCCAAUUCCUUCUCACUCACCUACUCCUGAUUCCUGUUCACACAUUCCAUUCACCCGUUACCCAAUUCCUGUACUUCUUUUCUGCUGUCCAGGUCCCCAAUUACCACGUUCCAUUUAAACUUACAUGAUUAGCUGAAAAAUGUAUUAUUAUAAUUCCUAACUUUAAAAAAAGAGUGAGUUAAAAGUGGUUUGGGUUCUUGAUGGGAAGAUCAUCCAAUAAUCUGCUACUUUGCUGCCACCAUAAUCUUGAACAUGGUAGAUUAUCAAAGUUUUUACAUAGAAUAAUACAGCACAGGAAAAGGACAUUCAGCCUACAAUAUAUGUGCUGAACAUAAUGCCAAGAUAAGCUUGUACGUAAACUAAAUCCCUCCAUAUUCAUGUGCCUAUCUAAAAGCCUCUUAAAACGCCACUGUACAGAACUUCAGUGAUAAAAACAGUAUAGAAAUUGAGUUGCGAG